UUAGAGUUUGAUCCUGGCUCAGGACGAACGCUGGCGGCGCGCUUAACACAUGCAAGUCGAGCGGUAAGGCCCUUUCGGGGGUACACGAGCGGCGAACGGGUGAGUAACACGUGAGCAAUCUGCCCUUCACUUCGGGAUAACUCCGGGAAACCGGUGCUAAUACCGGAUACGACCACUUCAGGCAUCUGAUGGUGGUGGAAAGUUCUGGCGGUGGAGGAUGAGCUCGCGGCCUAUCAGCUUGUUGGUGGGGUAAUGGCCCACCAAGGCAACGACGGGUAGCCGGCCUGAGAGGGUGACCGGCCACACUGGGACUGGGACACGGCCCAGACUCCUACGGGAGGCAGCAGUGGGGAAUAUUGGACAAUGGGCGCAAGCCUGAUCCAGCCAUGCCGCGUGAGUGAUGAAGGCCUUAGGGUUGUAAAGCUCUUUUACCAGGGAAGAUAAUGACGGUACCUGGAGAAUAAGCCCCGGCUAACUUCGUGCCAGCAGCCGCGGUAAUAUCGCC
rnacentral:rRNA from 1 species